rnacentral:rRNA from 1 species
CAAUAGCGUAUAUUUAAGUUGUUGCAGUUAAAAAGCUCGUAGUUGGAUUUCGGGCGGGGCCUGCCGGUCCGCCUUUGGUGUGCACUGGCAGGGUCCGCCUUGCUGUCGGGGACGGGUUCCUGGGCUUUACUGUCUGGGACUCGGAGUCGACGUGGUUACUUUGAGUAAAUUAGAGUGUUCAAAGCAGGCUUACGCUCUGAAUACAUUAGCAUGGAAUAACGCGAUAGGACUCUGGCCUAUCUUGUUGGUCUGUGGGACCGGAGUAAUGAUUAAGAGGGACAGUCGGGGGCAUUCGUAUUUCAUUGUCAGAGGUGAAAUUCUUGGAUUUAUGAAAGACGAACUA